CAUUCUGGUGUGAAAUAAUUGCUUCGUAACUUUUUACAUCAUUAUGCUGUCUACUUUGUUUAUGCAUGCAUACGCGAAUCAGGCGGCGAACGCGGCGGAGCCUUUUCUGGGCCGCUCCCGGGCCCAGGUCUCGGGCCCUGGUGAGCCUGGUCCCAGAGGGUACCGAGAUUACCCCGUAAGUGUUGACCACCCCGAGCACCGUGGUGCAGUGUUUACCAAAGGACUAUACUAGUGCAGCAAGCGGAAUUUGGUGACGAUGGACGUGGACGUCGAGAUCAAGCGUAAUGAGCCAGGAAACCUGGUCCUGACACUGUGCUGUACAAAGUGACGACUUCGUGAUGUCCGCGUGAAGAUCUUGAAGAAGCGGUGUGCGAACAAAUCUGUCCUGUCCUGAGUGGUGAUAACAAGUGGUGCCGUUGAUGUUGUGCCAGCCAGUGACCGUUUCUUCGGGGGUCAGCUGAAGAGCUUGUUGUUUAUUUCCGGCUGAGGGUUGGACUGCACUGUGAAGGGGUUGUGCGUGUGCGAAGAGGCCGACCCCUCGACACGGUGGACUGUUGUGAUGUCGACCCAAGAACCAGUCAGUCAGUCAGUCAAGUGGUGAAGCAGUAGCAGAAGAAGAAAACCAUGUUCACCGAGAAGAGCAGGGUGCGAGUGUGCGAAAGGAUUGACCAAAACAAACAUCGGACGUUUCGUCCGUCAUCCUGGACGAAAAAAGGACACACGAAGCCAGUCUGCCGAAAACCAACAAGCUUGUGAACCUUUUUUCCCGCGUGUCCUCGUGCGUCAGCUUUUGUCGUCACCGCGUUCAGAUUUUCGAAAUGAUGAACCACGCGCCGUACUAGAACUUCGGGUUGAAUUUUCCCGCCGCACCAGGCCAGGUGUGUUUUUGAGCGAAAUGUGGUGAAUCUGCAUUGUUCAAGGCUUAUUAUUCUAAAGAGGAUUAAGUUUCUCCUAGAAAACAGCUCUUCAAUAAAAAUAUUCCAGGUUCCCAACGAACCAGCAUCAACAACAUCAGCGUAACCACCAGUUUAGCAAUCACGACAGGACAGGAUGGAUCAACUGCUAGUUGACGACGCAGCACAACUCCCGGAACAAAAUCUGCACAAACCCCGCAUCACAUCAGGACGGACAAAGAAGAAACGGAGUCGCCACAAACGAUGAAAACACUUGCAAAAAAACAUGAUCAAGCGCAAAAAAACAUGAUCAAGCAACAAAACCAAAGGAAAUGGCAACAGCAACAAGCAGGACAGGAAAACAACUCGCAAGAAACAUCACACAAGAUGAAAAGACGAAGAAGAAGAAAAAUGCAACAAUUAAGUUCCUACUCUAAAACAUAGAUAAAAAUAUACGUUAUAAACGAGAGUGUAAUGUAAUUGUAAUCUUAGGUCGCUACGAAGGAGACACGGACGGAAGUUUUCACUGGGGCACGGCCAAAACCUCCGCCACUGUUUUGGGCAGUAAAACUGUAAAGUUAAGAGACUGAUGCGCUGCGCGGUGGAGCCCAAACUGUCUUUACUCGCAACUUGCUCGUCAAAUCCAGAACGAUUCGUUACCGGCAGAACCAGCAAACUGGCAACACUUCCUGUGUCCACCUGUUUUCUUCGCUGCAGCGACCUUCACCGGAGAAGUGUCGUUCUGUAUGCAGUUGAGGGGUGUGGGAGGAGCACUGAUGGAAGCGUUGCCAGAUUAGUGGGGGGGGUGCGCGGUCUGAUGGAUUGGUUUUGAUUUGACAGGUGAGUGAGGGGAUGAGGGAUCGGGUGAAACCAGUGGCGCCAGUUUUGCACCUCGCUUGCUCCCACUUUGGGGAGGAUGGACUGUGCGGUGGGAGACUUCCGGUUAAGGAUUAAAACUACUUGUAAAAUUUAACAAUUGCAAAGAAAGUAACACUGUAUAACUUGUCGACGAAAUAUGAGCAAAACACAAGUCAUCUACUGUAUUUUGAAGUGAGUGAAAGCAGUAAAUUUUAUAAAGCAAGAACAGUUCAUAAGGGCAAUGUGUAAUUUUUGUUUGUUUCUAUACUGUUAGAAGAGUUUUCUUUUGUAUCGGUGUACUUCUUGAGUGCAAAGCUUGGUUGAGUAGGGUUAAAAUGAACCCAAAAUUAGUCAUUUAAUGCGAUUUUUGGUGCCGGGUUGUAGAAAGCAUUGUCUCGUAACAUAUUAUACUCAAAUGAAGAGUAACUCCUAGUAUUAACUGAUGAUACUUAAUGUAGUUGGCUUAAAGCUUUAUUUUAAAUAAAACCAAAAAAAUACAAAAAAAAUAUUAAAAUGAAGAAAAUCCCAAAAAAAAAGAGUGCAUAGAUGGAAGUUAACCAAUUUAGUUCAGCGAGAACUCAGUCGCUUAGUGUACUUUUCAACGUGCAAUGUUCAUAUGCAGAAAAUGUAUUGAUCAAAACAAUACGAUUGCGAGGUAUCAACAACAAAAUCGAUCAAGGAUUAUGCAAUGGUAAAACUCAAGCUCUUUUCCUGAAGUCGACAGGGGAAGCGUUUCAAGUUUUGCUCAACAAGCAAUUAUCUUAAAAAUAUUUAUCUUUAGCAUGUACCAAAACAUUUGCGAGUAAAAAAACACAGUGUAUGAUAAAAAAUAAAGUUCCUAAAGAGCCGUCCCUCCCUCCAAACAGAGUGCGUGGACGUUAGGGGCGGCUAAACUACUAAUCUUAGUGUUAUAUAGAGUCGAACCCGUGUAGUUGAGAAAAAACUUAAGGCACCAAAAUAUCGCUCAUAACACUCGCAGAACAUUUGUUCCUCUUAAGAAAAGAAAGCAUUAUAAAUCAUUCCCAGCCAAACUUUGCAUUUUCGAUGACCACCCAGCACGAUUAUUCGUUUUCCAAAUCAAGCUUCUUGAUAUCAUGUGACAUGAAACUCGCAUUCCUAAAGGCAAACACGGUAUAUUUAAAUGAAACAAUCAUUAAAUGGGAGUACCAAUUGGCUUGACUUUCGCGAUAGUUUGGUCGCAAGAUUCGUUAAUUUUUGGACUAAAGGUGAAAAAUCAGAACAAAGUACUCGCGUGAACAACAAUAAUAGAGUUUAGAGAUGAAUCCGGAAGAACUAAGAAAAAAAACAAGUAUCGAGAGUGAAAAAUUACACAGAUCCAAAAACAAACAUUUUGUUCCUAUGAAAAUGAGAGAAAAAACACACGCAAAAUUGCUGAAAGAUAAAAAAUGAGAGAACUAACGAAAAGACUCGACAUAUCAUGAAUGUUUAAUUUUGUCCUCGCAAAAAGUUUUUAAAGAACGACCCACACCAAAAGAAUGCACCCGCAGACUACGGUCGAAUACAGUUGCGCGCGAAUGAGCUGCAGUUUUAACAGAAAAGAAUCACUCAUUAACUUAUACUUACCUACUACCACUACUUACUACUAAUAAUAGAAUGGCAGCAACAAAACUGGAUAUUCAUAUAUACUCGAUGUUUCAGCUAAUGUCCACCAGAUG